AGAGAGUUGGGUCUUUGUGGAUUUUCCAAUUGCCGCAAUAAUAUAGCUUGUGAAUUGUUUGGGUGUGGAAGGGAAAUUGAUGAUUUUUAAUGUAAAAAGGAGCGUCUCUGUCAGCAAUAUCAGGGGUUGAAAUUGAAACGGUUUUUGAUUUUAACCCUGCAAAGAGCCUUCCUUUGCGGUUUUUUUCUUUUUGAGAAGGCUCUUUGUGGUUGUUGCUUCUGAAGGAGGAAGAAAAUGAUGCGGUUAUGGAUUUCUUAUCUGCAAUUGGUGGAGCUGUUUGUGAGUUCCUUGGUUCAUUUGCUCUAUGGAUUUUACAUAUUCAGCACCGCCGUUGCUGGGGACCUGGCACAGAAUCUGAAUGAAUAUUUUCGCAAGCCUAACGCCGAUGUUGUUGAGGUCAAAGAUGGAACAUCCAAGGCCAAUGCUGAUGAUCUUCCUCCUAUUGUGUUGGUUCAUGGGAUUUUUGGAUUUGGCAAAGGGAGAUUGGGGGCUUUGUCGUACUUUGGUGGGGCGGAGAAGAAAGAUGAAAGGGUUCUUGUCCCUGAUUUGGGCUCUCUCACCAGUAUCUAUGAUAGGGCUCGAGAAUUGUUCUAUUAUUUAAAAGGCGGGCAAGUUGAUUACGGUGAGGAGCAUAGCACGGCUUGUGGACACUCGCAGUUUGGACGAAUCUAUGAACAAGGGCAUUACCCUGAGUGGGACGAGGAUCACCCUAUUCAUUUUGUUGGACACUCAGCGGGUGCACAAGUUGUUCGUGUCUUGCAACAAAUGCUUGCUGAUAAGACAUUCAAGGGUUAUGAAAACAGUUCGGAGAACUGGGUAUUAAGUAUCACCUCCUUAUCUGGAGCAUUUAAUGGGACUACAAGAACAUACACAGAUGGCAUGCAGCCAGAAGAUGGGAAAACAUUGAAACCUAUUUGCCUGCUACAGCUUUGCCGCAUUGGAGUGAUCAUAUAUGAUUGGUUUGACAUUGCGUGGCUGAAGAACUACUACAAUUUUGGGUUUGAUCACUUUAACAUGUCAUGGAGAAAGAUGGGUAUAUGGGGUCUUGUCGAUUGUCUAUUGGGGAAUGCGGGUCCAUUUGCUUCAGGAGAUUGGAUCCUCCCUGAUCUUACAAUUCAAGGCUCUAUAAAACUCAAUUACCACCUACAAACAUUUCCUAACACAUACUACUUCAGCUAUGCUACCAAACGCACAACGAAGAUCAUGGGCGUUACAGUUCCUUCAAGUAUACUUGGAAUUCACCCGAUGCUUUUCCUGAGAGUUUUGCAGAUGAGCCAGUGGCGUUUUCCUCCAGAUGUUCCUCCCCCUUACAAGGGAUACAGGGAUGAGGAUUGGCAAGACAAUGAUGGAGCACUAAACACAAUAUCCAUGACUCAUCCUCGCCUACCUAUUGAACACCCCAACUGUUUGGUUGAGAAGGAAUCAGAUUGCAAACCUUUACAACCUGGCAUCUGGUACUAUACAUAUGUGAAGGGUGAUCACAUACUAUUCAUUAUUAAUCGGGAGAGAGCAGGAGUGCAGUUUGACUUAAUCUAUGACAGUAUUUUCGAACGAUGUAGGAAACACGUUUUCAAGAAGAAGCCUCCAACAAUGCCGAAUGAAAUCAAUCAUUAGCACAUCAUUCUUUACUCUCCUUUCAUUCAACUACAAGAGACAUAUAAAAACCCUUCACCUUCACCUUUGUAAAUAAGAGCUGAUUGAUGACAGAUUCUGGAACCUCUUCAAUGUCAAAACCGUUUGUUUUUUCAGACACACACAUGGCUUUUUCUUACAACGCAAAGUCUAUGAUGAUGAAGAUCUAGAUCAUACUGCUGAAUCUUUACAAUGGUACAGUGACAGGUGUUGUACAACAGGGAAACUAAACUCAUCUUGUAAAUUUUUUGACACUUUCCUUCCACAUCAGACAGAGAAAAAUACUUAUCCGAUAAUUAAUUUCAAAAAGGAAAA